rnacentral:rRNA from 1 species
CUAGCUACAGGCUUAACACAUGCAAGUCGAGGGGCAGCAUGGUCUUAGCUUGCUAAGGCCGAUGGCGACCGGCGCACGGGUGAGUAACACGUAUCCAACCUGCCGUCUACUCUUGGACAGCCUUCUGAAAGGAAGAUUAAUACAAGAUGGCAUCAUGAGUCCGCAUGUUCACAUGAUUAAAGGUAUUCCGGUAGACGAUGGGGAUGCGUUCCAUUAGAUAGUAGGCGGGGUAACGGCCCACCUAGUCUUCGAUGGAUAGGGGUUCUGAGAGGAAGGUCCCCCACAUUGGAACUGAGACACGGUCCAAACUCCUACGGGAGGCAGCAGUGAGGAAUAUUGGUCAAUGGGCGAGAGCCUGAACCAGCCAAGUAGCGUGAAGGAUGACUGCCCUAUGGGUUGUAAACUUCUUUUAUAAAGGAAUAAAGUCGGGUAUGCAUACCCGUUUGCAUGUACUUUAUGAAUAAGGAUCGGCUAACUCCGUGCCAGCAGCCGCGGUAAUACGGAGGAUCCGAGCGUUAUCCGGAUUUAUUGGGUUUAAAGGGAGCGUAGAUGGAUGUUUAAGUCAGUUGUGAAAGUUUGCGGCUCAACCGUAAAAUUGCAGUUGAUACUGGAUAUCUUGAGUGCAGUUGAGGCAGGCGGAAUUCGUGGUGUAGCGGUGAAAUGCUUAGAUAUCACGAAGAACUCCGAUUGCGAAGGCAGCCUGCUAAGCUGCAACUGACAUUGAGGCUCGAAAGUGUGGGUAUCAAACAGGAUUAGAUACCCUGGUAGUCCACACGGUAAACGAUGAAUACUCGCUGUUUGCGAUAUACAGCAAGCGGCCAAGCGAAAGCGUUAAGUAUUCCACCUGGGGAGUACGCCGGCAACGGUGAAACUCAAAGGAAUUGACGGGGGCCCGCACAAGCGGAGGAACAUGUGGUUUAAUUCGAUGAUACGCGAGGAACCUUACCCGGGCUUAAAUUGCAGAUGAAUUACGGUGAAAGCCGUAAGCCGCAAGGCAUCUGUGAAGGUGCUGCAUGGUUGUCGUCAGCUCGUGCCGUGAGGUGUCGGCUUAAGUGCCAUAACGAGCGCAACCCUUGUUGUCAGUUACUAACAGGUCAUGCUGAGGACUCUGACAAGACUGCCAUCGUAAGAUGUGAGGAAGGUGGGGAUGACGUCAAAUCAGCACGGCCCUUACGUCCGUGGCUACACACGUGUUACAAUGGGGGGUACAGAGGGCCGCUACCACGCGAGUGGAUGCCAAUCCCAAAAACCUCUCUCAGUUCGGACUGGAGUCUGCAACCCGACUCCACGAAGCUGGAUUCGCUAGUAAUCGCGCAUCAGCCACGGCGCGGUGAAUACGUUCCCGGGCCUUGUACACACCGCCCGUCAAGCCAUGGGAGCUGUGUGUACCUGAGGGGCGUAAACACGAGCACCGGUCGUUGGACAACCUCGUGACUGGAGCUAAGUCGUAACAA